GUACUGGUCAAGUCAUCAAAUCAGUCAAGCGGACAAGAAAGAGGGACUCAGAUCACUUGGAAUUAUGACAAUGUAUUGCAGGGAUACCUUUGAAAAUGGGGUGUCACAAGAAGCUGAACUUUGCAUCCCAGUUCUGAAACAUACAGCAACCUCAGGGAGACAGAUGCAUCACUAGGCAUUUUGGGGUGGUAGCAAGUUCAGUGACCUGCCAGAUUUCUUAGCAUUAACUUGAAAGAGAAGACACUUAUUUUAUUUGAUUUGAUUUCUACUAGUCAAAUGGGCACCUGGAUUAAGCAGACUCUCCCCCAGGCACCCUAGAGGCCUCUGACAUCCCUUAUGUCCAGCCCAGACACGGCCUUUCUGUGGCCUCAGCAUAUCUGCCCAGUCCAAUCGGCUAUAGCCAGAAGAAAAAGGGAGGAAGAUCCAAGAGAGGGAAGGAGACUUUCCCAGGAAGCAGCAGCCUGCUACUUUCCUGCUAACCAGGGCAGACGCUGGUCUGCAUCCCCCUAUCCAGGUGGCCCCUGCAGUCACGGCUUUUCUGCUUCUAGAAGCCAUCCCUGAGAACAUCAUGGCAGAACUCGAAACACAUUGCAUCAUACAAAAUGAAGUGGAGAAUUAAGGCCUCCCUAACCCCUGAGACACAACAAUACUGAAGAAAUUACCUGAGCCUUCAGCAACCACCAUCCUGAUCAAUCAGCAGCCAUCAACAUCAAGUUUAAUGAUAUCAACUUCUGCAUCCUGAAAGACUCAGAUACUUUGUUUUUACAAGUCUUACUUCAGAAAUGACCUGUUCCAUCUCUCAUGCUGCUACAGGUAAACUUGAAAUUCAAAUCGUUCAUCUGACACUUGGACUUAUCUGAAAAUUUACUACCAAACAAUCCAUUGGAGGACCCCAUAAUUAAUCCAGUUCCAUCAUUAUCACAUCUCUACUAAACAUAUCAUUAAACAGCUGAAACAAUGCUUUCAAGG